rnacentral:rRNA from 1 species
CAGGACGAACGCUGGCGGCAUGCCUAAUACAUGCAAGUCGAACGCUGAAACACUCUGCUUGCAGAGUGUGGAUGAGUGGCGAACGGGUGAGUAACACGUGGGGAAUCUGCCUAUAAGUGGGGGAUAACAUUCGGAAACGGAUGCUAAUACCGCAUAUAUUCAAAAACCGCAUGGUUUCUGAAAGAAAGACGGCUUUACUGUCGCUUAUAGAUGAUCCCGCGGCGUAUUAGUUAGUUGGUGGGGUAAUGGCCUACCAAGACCAUGAUACGUAGCCGACCUGAGAGGGUGAUCGGCCACACUGGGACUGAGACACGGCCCAGACUCCUACGGGAGGCAGCAGUAGGGAAUCUUCCGCAAUGGACGCAAGUCUGACGGAGCAACGCCGCGUGAAGUGAAGAAGGGUUUCGGCUCGUAAAACUCUGUUGUUAAGGAAGAAUGUCAGUGAGAGUAACUGCUCAUUGAGUGACGGUACUUAACCAGAAAGCCCCGGCUAACUAUGUGCCAGCCGCCGC